GGAUUAUUAGAUCUCACCGCCCAUCCACGGGGCUUUCAAUAACUAGUCAACAUGAAUUCAAUUCAUGUAACACUGAUCUCGGCCCUUUUGGCACUCAGCACCGUGUACAAAGGCAUGUCGACGCCGAUGCCAAUGCCGAUGCCAAUGCCAAUGCAAAUGCCGAUGCCAAUGAGGAUGACCGAUGCUAUGUAUAUGCU